rnacentral:rRNA from 1 species
GACGAACGCUGGCGGCGUGCUUAACACAUGCAAGUCGAGCGGUAAGGCCCUUUCGGGGGUACACGAGCGGCGAACGGGUGAGUAACACGUGGGUGACCUGCCCUCAGCUCUGGGAUAAGCCUGGGAAACCGGGUCUAAUACUGGAUAUGACUCCAUGACGCAUGUUGUGGGGUGGAAAGCCUUGUGCGGCUGAGGAUGGGCCCGCGGCCUAUCAGCUUGUUGGUGGGGUGAUGGCCUACCAAGGCGACGACGGGUAGCCGGCCUGAGAGGGCGACCGGCCACACUGGGACUGAGACACGGCCCAGACUCCUACGGGAGGCAGCAGUGGGGAAUAUUGGACAAUGGGGGCAACCCUGAUCCAGCGACGCCGCGUGUGUGAAGAAGGCCUGCGGGUUGUAAAGCAC